rnacentral:rRNA from 1 species
GAUCCUGGCUCAGGGUGAACGCUAGCGACAGGCUUAACACAUGCAAGUCGAGGGGCAGCGGGGAGUAGCAAUACUCUGCCGGCGACCGGCGCACGGGUGAGUAACGCGUAUGCAACUUACCUAUCAGAGGAGAAUAGCUCAUCGAAAGAUGAAUUAAUGCUCCAUAAAACAGGGGUCCCGCAUGGGAAUAUUUGUUAAAGAUUCAUCGCUGAUAGAUAGGCAUGCG